GGAUCUGUAUUUUUGCACCCAAGAAAGCCUGGGGAGUCCAGGUGGGGUGGUGCUGGGCACUUGGCAGGUGCUGAACAUACACCUGUUGAAACUGACAGUGUGUAGGACAGUAAAGAGAAUAUGUUUUGGUCUCUGACUCCAGCACCGGGGCUUGAAAACACCAUUCAUUCAACUCUCAGUACAUAAUCAUGGAGCACAGUGUGUGGGCACGGCAUGGUGGCCAGUCAGCGUGGCAUGCUCAUUCCUGCCUGGAACUUGCAAUCAAGUUUAACCCUAUUUUUCUCCAGUGCAGACCUCACUUGUUGCAGAAGCAAGCCACAGCCUAUGAGGGUGUCACUCCGAGCAGAGGACACCAUGCGUGUCAUUGGAGACGCAGAAGCAAGGCUGACUGUCUCCAGGCAGUGGUCGGAGUAUCAGAGUAGCCGCAUUUGCAACCAGCCUCAGCUCCUCCGACUAUGUGAGACACUGUUUCCUCAGUAAAUAUAUUCACAACACUUCAGCACCCUGAUUUUUUAAAGGGCUCGUAUGAAUCACAGAAUGAGUCAUCCAUAAAGCGUGGAGACUUCUGGCAUGUCUGUGCAUGAAUUUGCACCUGAAAACCUCACCUGGGAAUUGUUUAACAGAAUUAACCUUUCAACCUCGAUGUGAGACUGAGCGAGGCGGUGGGGCGUGGGGGGUAAUGGUGCAGAGGCUGUUCUGGCCCGAUGGUGAUAUCCGUGCCAAGGCUCCGCAGAACGGGGAGAAGCAAGUCCUGUGGCCAUCAUCUCAACGAUCCAGGUAAAGGCCAAAAUUCUCAGCCGACAUGAAUCACACCUUAUAUUGUUGUUUCAAACCUGAUUUGGGAGUCAUCACUCGUGUUACCUGCACACGCCCUGCCUGGUUGCCGACACACCUCUCUAGCGCUUGCGCCCACGAGCACCGUACGUAGCAAGAGCUUCUGUUCUAUCCUCUGCCUUUCAACUCAGAACCACACUGGCCGUGUAUGAGCCACAGCGGUGGAAUCUCCUUUUAAGGACUCAGGAGAACAAAAGGUCUGAGUUAGACUUCGCACCUAGCGGUGAGCAUCGGGAGUUGAAUCUGCCAUUAUAGAGUCUGGAAAUCACGGGGCCGGGUCAGUGUUUACUACCUGGGUGAGAAGACGAGGACACUGCUCAUGAUUAUCAAUUAAACAGUACUGGAGAUUUAUAGCUUGUUGGAUGCCACAUUUAAUCCUCCUGAAAGAGUUGAUGGCUUCACAAUAAAUCUUUCAAAGCUC